UGGAGAAGAAUAUGGACAGCACUGUCUUGGCCAUCAGGGUACGCGCGCUCGAUGUCUGUACCAACUCCACCAGCGGCAUGAACGCGUCCUACGAAUUUGUAUAAGUGCAGUGGACCACCUCAAAGAGGUGACUGGAGGCCAGAUACAGGGAGCGGUACAUAUGGCGCUGAACCGGACCGAGUGGAGAAGAUUGACAUACAGUCAUGAUCCUCAGCAUUGAGGGAACAACUAGAAAGAGAGAUAGUAACCCUCAUCAAAAUCAUCUAACUGUUCCAGUCUGUGCUUAACCUUUUCAUUUAAAUUUGAAACCUGUCUUAUAAGAGCUGAAAAAGAACUAACUUAAAGUAAAAAAAAAACAAAAGAAAAAAAAGAAAUUUUGAUUAGUUCCAUUAUUCAAUAAAGUAGUUUCAUAUUCUUAUUAAA